AAAUUGAAGAGUUUGAUCAUGGCUCAGAUUGAACGCUGGCGGCAGGCCUAACACAUGCAAGUCGAACGGUAACAGGAAGAAGCUUGCUUCUUUGCUGACGAGUGGCGGACGGGUGAGUAAUGUCUGGGAAACUGCCUGAUGGAGGGGGAUAACUACUGGAAACGGUAGCUAAUACCGCAUAACGUCGCAAGACCAAAGAGGGGGACCUUCGGGCCUCUUGCCAUCGGAUGUGCCCAGA
rnacentral:rRNA from 1 species